GUCCAUGGCCAUACCACGUGAAUGCAACCAAUCUUGUCUGAUCUUGGAAGCUAAACAGGAUCCGGCUUGGUGAGUUCUUGAAUGGGAGACUGGAGGGCAGACUCGGAGGUUGGAAU
rnacentral:rRNA from 1 species